rnacentral:lncRNA from 1 species
AGUCCUGCAGUCUGAUGAACAUUCUAGAGUGUGUGGACACAGAUGGAUGCUCUGGUCACAGCUUGUUGACCUGGGACUCGGCGAUGUCCGCCCUCUCCUCCGCCUCAUCCAGCUCGUGCUGCACCUUGCGGAACUUGGACAGCCUCCAGCUCGUUCUCCAGCUCCCGGACCCGGGCCUCCAGCUUCUGCAGCUGCUUCUUGCCGCCCUUGAGGGCGAUCUGCUCUGCCUCGUCCAGACGGUGCUGCAAGUCCUUGAUGGUCUGCUCCAUGUUCUUCUUCAUGCGCUCCAGGUCGUCGUUGGCACGGACAGCAUCAUCCAGCUGGAUUUGAGUGUCCUGAGGAUCAGGAAAAUGAGUGGCCUCAUUGCGGCUGCGCGUCUCCGCAUCCAGGGAGGUCUGCAGGGAGUCCACCACCCGCAGGUGGUUGCGCUUGGCCUGCUCCAUCUCCUCGUCCUUCUCUGCCAGCUUCCUUUCGAUCUCUGCCUUGAUCUGGUUGAACUCCAGCUGGGCGCGGAGGAUCUUGCCCUCCUCGUGCUCCAGGGAGGCCUGGAAAGGAUGUGGGGAGAAGGUUUUGCAGGCAUAUAGUCAGAGACCAGGGCAGAAGCAAGGAUCUGUCUAAAAACCAUGGUACAGAGAGCAUUUGGGAAUGGUAUACAUGACUCCGUAGGAGAUGCAGAAGAAGAAAAUGAGAGAGUGUGUGUACAAGAGAAAUGAAAGCAAGCUGAAGAGAAGGGGAUGCAGACUCCCAGGGGGGCGGAGGGAGCCAGCUUGAAGACAAAGAGGAAAAUGAAAAGUGUUGCCAAGGAAACAGAGGCAAUGAAGCAGAGAGUGA